GAAAGUAAAAAAGGGCGCAUGGCGGAUGCCUUGGCUCUCGGAGGCGAUGAAGGACGUGAUAAGCUGCGAUAAGCUCCGGGGAGGUGCAAAUAACCUUUGAUCCGGGGAUUUCCGAAUGGGACAACCCGGCGUGUUGAAGACACGCCACCUGAUCAUUUCAGGAGCUAACGCAGGGAACUGAAACAUCUUAGUACCUGCAGGAAAAGAAAAUAACAAUGAUUCCCCCAGUAGUGGCGAGCGAACGGGGAAUAGCCCAAACCGUUCAUGUUACGGCAUGAUCGGGGUUGUAGGACUACGUCGUUGCAUGAAGACAUCGGAGAAGAACUUUCUGGAAAGAAAGACCAUAGAGCAUGACAGUUGCGUAUUCGUAUGUUGUCGAAGCAUAGUAGUAUCCUGAGUAGCGCGGAGCACGAGGAAUUCUGCGUGAAUCUGCCGGGACCAUCCGGUAAGGCUAAAUACUCCCGAGAGACCGAUAGCGAACCAGUACCGUGAGGGAAAGGUGAAAAGCACUUCGAACAGAAGAGUGAAAUAGUUCCUGAAACCGUGCGCCUACAAGCGGUCGGAGCUCGUUAAUGAGUGACGGCGUGCCUUUUGCAUAAUGAACCUACGAGUUGCCUUUGCCGGCAAGGUUAAGUGUGACGACACACGUAUCCGAAGCGAAAGCGAGUCUGAAUAGGGCGUAUAGUCGGCAGUGGCAGACGCGAAACCAAGUGAUCUACCCUUGGCCAGGUUGAAGGCUGGGUAACACCAGCUGGAGGACCGCACCAAUAAGCGUUGAAAAGCUUCUGGAUGAGCUGAGGGUAGGGGUGAAAGGCUAAUCAAACUUGGAGAUAGCUCGUACUCCCCGAAAUGCAUUUAGGUGCAGCCUUGGGAAUUACUACUGUGAGGUAGAGCGACUGAUAAGAUGCGAGGGCUUCACCGCCUAUCAAGUCUUGACAAACUCCGAAUGCGCAUCAGUUCUACCGCAGGAGUGAGGGCAUGGGUGCUAAGGUCCGUGCCCGAGAGGAGAAGAAUCCGGACCACCUGCUAAGGUCCCGAAAUGACAGCUAAGUUAAACUAACGAAGUCUGACUGCUAAGACAGCUAGGAUGUUGGCUUGGAAGCAGCCAUUCAUUUAAAGAGUGCGUAACAGCUCACUAGUCGAGGAGUUUGGCGUGGAUAAUAAUCGGGCAUUAAGCAAUUUACCGAAGCUAUGGGAUCAGUAAUGAUCGGUAGGGGAGCAUUCCACUCUGCGUCGAAGGUGAAGCGUGAGCUUUGCUGGAGCGUGUGGAAAAGCAAAUGUAGGUAUAAGUAACGAUAAAGGGGGUGGGAAACCCCCUCGCCGAAAGACUAAGGUUUCCUGAUCAACGCUAAUCGGAUCAGGGUAAGUCGGGUCCUAAGGCUCAGCCGAAGGGCGAUGCCGAUGGCAGAAACGGUUAAUAUUCCGUUACUACCUCCAGGAGUGAUGUGGAGACGCAGUAGUGACAAUGCCGCCAUCUGACGGAAUAGAUGGUUGAAGGGUGUAGAUGUUGAUCUUGGCAGGCAAAUCCACCAUGAGAAUCGAACCUGAUAGUAUGCCGCGUCCCUCGGGACAAGGCAAUAGUGCAUGUAAUCAUGCUGCCAAGAAAAUCCGCUAAACUAAAUCCUGUAGGUACCCGUACCGUAAACGGACACACGUAGUCGGGAUGAAUAUUCUAAGGCGCUUGAGUGAUUCACGGUUAAGGAACUAGGCAAACUGACCCUGUAACUUCGGGAUAAAGGGUCCCUACCCGGUGACGGGAGGGCGCAGAGAAUAGGUCCAGGCAACUGUUUAACAAAAACACAGGGCUGUGCUAAAUCGAAAGAUCCUGUAUACAGCCUGACACCUGCCCGGUGCUGGAAGGUUAAGAGGAGACGUCAUCGUUGAGAGAAGCGUUGAAUUGAAGCCCCAGUAAACGGCGGCCGUAACUAUAACGGUCCUAAGGUAGCGAAAUUCCUUGUCGGGUAAGUUCCGACCUGCACGAA
rnacentral:rRNA from 1 species